AUACCGGUGACCAUGUGACGGGCACUUGGUCGGGUGUGGCAAUUGGCUGCCUAUGAUCCUUGGGUUAUUUUCGCCGCUUUCUCUGCUCUAACUGUUGCAGCAGUUUCGGAGAUCUCAAUACCACAUUUGCUGACAGCGUCGAUCUUUUCUACCCAGAGUAUUUUUAAUCUUCAAUUACUGUAUCUUAUUAUAUUAUAAAAAAGUAUCAUCCCCCUAUAAACUCUUACCCAUUUUAGUCUUUCUUCA